AGGUAGUUUUUAGUACGUAAGCGCCAUGGAUGGCGAAUCGUGCAUGUUGCUACUAAGAACCAGCAGUAUCUUUUGAAGAUUUUCUACCU
rfam:Glossina pallidipes unplaced genomic scaffold Scaffold0, whole genome shotgun sequence.